GCUGUAAUUGGAGGUGGCUGCGAGUGGCUCCUGGCUCCAGCCCAGCUGGGCCAGAUGCUUCAGCUUCUCCAGGGAGAAGGUCCCCCAACCCUGCCCCAUCUGGGGUCCCUGUGGGUUUGAGGCCGGGGCAGCAGGAGAAUUUCAGGUCAGACUAGAGGUGGGAUUUCCAGGUCCUGCGGAACCCACACCCCGUCCCAGCUGGACUCACUUGGCUGACCUCGCCCCAGGGGCUGCUCAUGAUUUGGAAGUUGUCAUUGAUAAGGCGGAUACUGGUGAGCAGACGCUCAUCAUCGUAGUGGAAGCAGCUGGCGAAGAGCACGGAACAGAUAAUGUUGGACACUGAGUGACUCAGCACAAACGUGGGGUCAAAGGGCUCGCCUGAGGGUGGGGAAUGGAUCAGGAAGACGCGAUGUGCAGCACACCAGACCUCAUGCAGCAACACCAUUAAUUUGCACAACAUCCGACUCAACCAUGGCAACGUGUCUUGCGGUGCAGAGCACAGGCACAUGGUCACAACAUGCUGCUUAACAACACCCCAAAAGCAUGUGUCAAUGCCACAGACAGCACAGAACCCACAACUUCCUGCAGCACAUCCACAGCAACAAUACCCACCACAGAACCGGCUAUUCUUGGCAACACAACACACAGCACGCAACAUAGCACAAGGCAAUCAUCAGGCAUCACGGAACACAACAACACAGGGCAACAGAACACCCAGCGAAUAGGAUCACAGUAGAUGCCAACACAGGACACUCGGUGACCUAACAACCAGCCCGGAAACAUCCCAAGACACAGUAACCACACACCAACACAUAAUGCCAGCAUACAGCUCCAUAAUCCUGCCACACAACACACACUAGUACACAGCAACCCAGCAGACAGCACCCAACACACGAUGUGACAUCACAACACGUACAAUCAAGGCAGCAGAACAAAGGCCACACUAUGCAGCAACGCAACAAUGUUGGCAGCCAGCAGAUGACACAACGCAAAACCACAUGCAGCGCCUGACAACUCUACAAUCUCACCCAGAAAUAACACAACACCUAGCAUCUGGCCGUCCAACAGCUGAACAGACCAUAGUAAAUACCGAACAGCACAUUUCUU